AAAUGGGGCUUCUGUCUCUCUUGUUUUCACUCUCCAUGGCUUUUGGUGCAUUCUUUUCAGUGGCUUUGGUAUCUGUUCCAACUGUAAUUGUAAGUUCAAAAGGAUUUCUAUUCAGUGUUGUGAGCGAAGAAUUCAGUUUUCAUCUGUUUUAGCACAUCUAUAGCACAUGUUUAGAAUGGCUGGCAUUUAUUGGUGAGUUUUCAUGCCAUGCACAGGCUUUUGGAAGAUUAGGAGUUUCAAUGAAAAAAUUGUCUAAAGUUGCCUCAGAAGAGGUACCGGGAACUUUAUCUUCUCUCAAACUUUCUAGUAUGGAGGUGAACGACUUGGCCCAAGAACUUAGAAAUCUCAGGCAUGAAAUUUCUGGAAUCCGCACGGUAGAGAAUGACAGAGACACUAAAGAUGCAAGAUCCUUCCGGAACAAGGACUCAAUAUCCUAAUUCUGAAUAUCCCCAAUGUUGCCUAGAUAACCACUACGUUCCUCCGCACACCCCAACCAAAAAAAAAAAA